GAAGGAAUCAGGAGGCAGAGCACAUGGUUAAAGCAUGAGAUGUGAAACCAGGAAGAACCAGGUCUGAAUCUUAGCUCCACCAGUGGUAGCUCCAAACCUUAGUCCUUUCUGAGCCUGCUUCUUCAACCCUAAGGGAACACUACACUUCCUUAAAAAUUAAGAGUGUGUGCUACACUGCUUUACUAGAGCAAGACCAAAAGCAGCUUCAAUUAUGGUACAACUGUGUGAAGACACAAUGCAAAACCACUCAAGAAUGCUCACUCAAAUGGAUCUUUUACGAUGCUCAUCCCCUAUUCUCCUCUUGCAAUCCGGAUGCUGCCUGACUACCAACACACCUGCACAAAGCCCUCUGCAGCACCUGCCACUGGCCCAUGCUUUUGUCACUGCCACCUCCAGCUCAGCCUCAUUCCCCUCCAGGCUCUGCUCCAACACAUAGGACCACAGGAAUUCGGAAACGGGACCCAGAAAGUUGUUUCCUGCAAGUGGCUGGAACAACACAAGCAAUAAGUAUCCUGAAACAGGCCCUGUUCCAACAAACUGACCCAGAAAGGUCUGGUUAGGACAGGACCCUCACUAUACACUAAUACAUUUAAACUAAAAGGAUAUUAUGAAUUAUGUAGACAUAUCAAGCUGAGAGGAAAGGAAAUCCUAUCAUCUUGCAGGCUUCCUAAUGAUCUUACUUAAAACUGAGUUACUGC
rnacentral:antisense_RNA from 1 species